rnacentral:rRNA from 1 species
AAUGGCUCAUUAAAUCAGUUAUCGUUUAUUUGAUAGUACCUUACUACUUGGAUAACCGUGGUAAUUCUAGAGCUAAUACAUGCUGAAAACCCCGACUUCGGAAGGGGUGUAUUUAUUAGAUAAAAAACCAAUGCCCUUCGGGGCUCCUUGGUGAUUCAUAAUAACUUCUCAGAUCGCAUGGCCUUGCGCCGGCGACGGUUCAUUCAAAUUUCUGCCCUAUCAACUUUCGAUGGUAAGGUAUUGGCUUACCAUGGUUUCAACGGGUAACGGGGAAUUAGGGUUCGAUUCCGGAGAGGGAGCCUGAGAAACGGCUACCACAUCCAAGGAAGGCAGCAGGCGCGCAAAUUACCCAAUCCCGACACGGGGAGGUAGUGACAAUAAAUACUGAUACAGGGCUCUUUUGGGUCUUGUAAUUGGAAUGAGUACAAUUUAAACCUCUUAACGAGGAACAAUUGGAGGCAAGUCUGGUGCCAGCAGCCGCGGUAAUUCCAGCUCCAAUAGCGUAUAUUAAAGUUGUUGCAGUUAAAAGCUCGUAGUUGAACCUUUGGCCUGGCUGGCAGGUCCGCCUCACCGCGUGCACUUGUCCGGCCGGGCCUUCUUUUCUGGAGACCGCAUGCCCUUCACUGGGUGUGUUGGGGACCAGGACUUUUACUUUGAAAAAAUUAGAGUGUUCAAAGCAGGCCUUUGCUCGAAUACGUUAGCAUGGAAUAAUAGAAUAGGACGUGCGGUCCUAUUUUGUUGGUUUCUAGGACCGCCGUAAUGAUUAAUAGGGACAGUCGGGGGCAUCAGUAUUCAAUUGUCAGAGGUGAAAUUCUUGGAUUUAUUGAAGACUAACUACUGCGAAAGCAUUUGCCAAGGAUGUUUUCAUUAAUCAGUGAACGAAAGUUAGGGGAUCGAAGACGAUCAGAUACCGUCGUAGUCUUAACCAUAAACUAUGCCGACUAGGGAUCGGGCGGUGUUAUUAUUUUGACUCGCUCGGCACCUUACGAGAAAUCA